CCUACGGGAGGCAGCAGUGGGGAAUAUUGGACAAUGGGCGAAAGCCUGAUCCAGCAAUGCCGCGUGAGUGAUGAAGGCCUUAGGGUUGUAAAGCUCUUUUACCAGGGAUGAUAAUGACAGUACCUGGAGAAUAAGCUCCGGCUAACUCCGUGCCAGCAGCCGCGGUAAUACGGAGGGAGCUAGCGUUGUUCGGAAUUACUGGGCGUAAAGCGUACGUAGGCGGUUAUUCAAGUCAGAGGUGAAAGCCUGGAGCUCAACUCCAGAACUGCCUUUGAAACUAGAUAGCUAGAAUCUUGGAGAGGUGAGUGGAAUUCCGAGUGUAGAGGUGAAAUUCGUAGAUAUUCGGAAGAACACCAGUGGCGAAGGCGACUCACUGGACAAGUAUUGACGCUGAGGUACGAAAGCGUGGGGAGCAAACAGGAUUAGAUACCCUGGUAGUCCACGCCGUAAACGAUGAUAACUAGCUGUUCGGGCUCUACGGAGCUGUGUGGUCGCNGACUACGACAUUAAGUUAUCCGUCCGUCGGGUAGGUACGGUCGCAGAAUUAAACUAACAAAGAAGUAGACGGCGUGAGACGUGCCGAACGGACGACGACGAGGGAGGUAGG
rnacentral:rRNA from 1 species